CCUACGGGAGGCAGCAGUGGGGAAUAUUGCACAAUGGGCGCAAGCCUGAUGCAGCAACGCCGCGUGAGGGACGACGGCCUUCGGGUUGUAAACCUCUUUUAGCAGGGAAGAAGCGAAAGUGACGGUACCUGCAGAAAAAGCGCCGGCUAACUACGUGCCAGCAGCCGCGGUAAU
rnacentral:rRNA from 2 species